rnacentral:rRNA from 1 species
GAUGAACGCUGGCGGCGUGCUUAACACAUGCAAGUCGAACGGAAAGGCUCCUGCUUGCAGGGGUACUCGAGUGGCGAACGGGUGAGUAACACGUGGGUGAUCUGCCCUGCACUUCGGGAUAAGCCUGGGAAACUGGGUCUAAUACCGGAUAGGACGAUGGUUUGGAUGCCAUUGUGGAAAGUUUUUCGGUGUGGGAUGAGCUCGCGGCCUAUCAGCUUGUUGGUGGGGUAAUGGCCUACCAAGGCGUCGACGGGUAGCCGGCCUGAGAGGGUGUACGGCCACAUUGGGACUGAGAUACGGCCCAGACUCCUACGGGAGGCAGCAGUGGGGAAUAUUGCACAAUGGGCGCAAGCCUGAUGCAGCGACGCCGCGUGGGGGAUGACGGCCUUCGGGUUGUAAACUCCUUUCGCUAGGGACGAAGCGCAAGUGACGGUAUCUGGAGAAGAAGCACCGGCUAACUACGUG